GAAAAAAGUGUUUUCACAUGUCACCAAUUAACAUUUCAGUUCACACAAAUCUUAACUCAGUCACCUCACAAAUCCCUUUGCUGGCAAUAAGGGCAACUCUGCUGGUGGUUACCCUGUAGCUGCUUUGCAUGCAGUGAGGGCAAUGAGGGUACACUUUAUCUGGACUUGAAGAACUGAGCGUUGUCAUGCGGAUUACUGAUGCCCACAGGAGAGAUGAUGGAACAAUGAAAGUAGUACACUCAUGAGUAAUACUGAUUCAUGUGCAGCAACUUGGACCACUCCACCCCUUGAACUGAAGCCCUUGGAAGUACUUGUUUUAAGCUGCUCUGCUAAAAAGAAUCUAAAAAGGUCUUGCACGGAACCUCCUGGACUAUUCAUUGCUAUGCUUGAAGAUACUGCAGGAGGAGAUCCCAGAAAUACUGGAAUAUUUGAGACUACUCCAAAAUCUCAUCUGAGUUUGCUAGCAUGCAGAAGGAGACGGACACGUUAAGACCUCAGGUACUUACCAACACAGCAUGCAAGAGGUUACAGUUAAACAGCAGUUUUGCAGUUUGUUUUAUGCAUUAGUGUCACAGAAGAUUGAAAUAAAGAAGAUUGAUACAACUUUUUCUUUCUUUUUUUUUUGGUGAUAUAAAUUAGUAACUUCAUCUUCCAUAAUAGACAACAGACAAAACUUCUGUGCUGAAAAGACUGUUAAUCUAAGAGGCUUAAAUUCACAACAUUUUGUAUCAGUAGCAGAGUGCCAAGUUUUUCUGUGGUGCCUGUUUCACUGCCAGCAAUGAAAUAGCUUCCUGGGCCCCAGGCCAUCCUCUCUGUCUUCCUUUCAGUCAGCUUCAUCACUGCUGGGUUCCUCUUCUGAAUCAUCACUUUCAUAUUCUUCAUCCUCGCAUCUGAAGGCAUCCUCAGCUUCAGGGUCAGAUUGACCUUCUUCUUCAUGCUCAUGAGACUGGUUGGACUGAGAGCUGGGUCCUGACUGAUCAUUGUCCUCUUCCUCAUCCUGGGAAUGGUCAACUGACAGGCCUGCCUUUGCUUCCUCUUCCUCCUCGUAAUCCUCCUCUUCAUGGCGUUGAUGAGAGUUGGAAUGCGACUCAGCAUCCCCUGCAUGGCAAAGCUGAUCUGCAUGAGGGCUGUCUCUUGUCUCUUCUUCAUUCUCCAGCUCAGUGAACUGGCCAUCAGGAGUGGAAGUUUUCACACUUCUUCUCAUCUCUCCCUCCUCUUCCUCCUCACAGGACUGCUCAGACCAAGGACUGCUGUCAGCAGAUUCCUCAAAGGACUUCCCUUCCAUGAUGACUCUGAAAAGACAAUUUGCAUGUGUGAUUUUUAUUUUCAGCUAAGAUGUUUUCCAGUAGGUUUUUAACUGCUUUCAAGUCAUCUAGGACAAAUCGUGGUAGACUUGGCUGGGGUGGAACUGCGGAAGGGAAAGGAAAGGGAAUUGAAGACACUAGAGUCUUCUUUUAUGCUAGAAAGUAACUCUACACUAUUGGUUAUGUAUUUCAGCUUUAUUAUUUCUGCAUCCUUUUAAAUCAUAACACCUAAUGGAUAUGGAAAAGCAAGUUUCAUAAGGUUUAAUUUAAAAUUUCAGUAAAAGUAAUUCAUAAUUGACUUGCUAGCAACCUGACCAAAUUAUUGGUGAAAAGAACAAAUAAUAAUGUUUUCAUUAGUCUUUUGUCUUUUUUUUGAAGCACAUUAUGUAACACAUGCAGUGCUCUCUUCUCUUUAAUGAAAUAAUAUUUAACUCAGGAAAACAACAAAAAAAAUGCACAUUAAUGCAAACAUUAAUAAACACAGUCAAAUAUCUACCUGGCAAAUACUACAAACAUAGAAUUUAAAAGGAAACACCAACCAAAACGUACACAUCAAAAUCUGCUUUCUAAUUACUUCGUAUGUAGUGGCCAAAAAACCCCACCAAACAACCUUCAUUAACCUCUACCUUUCUCUGGCAUUGGUGGAGUUAAGAUCUUCAACACUGGAGCAUUGUAGCAAUUUGGUUCUUUGUCCUUUCCUUGAAACAAACUCUGGGCAUAUCCCCAGGGCUCUCAGUCUGUUAGAAUAAUGCUUUUCUGCAGCUAUUCUGGCGUUUUUCUGUAGGAAAGGCACAAUGGUUGUGUUACCUGAAUGCAUUAAAUGCCUAUCUUCUGAUA